UAUGUGAUCGUCUCUCGCAUAUCAAUAAGCGGAGGAAAAGAAACUAACAAGGAUUCCCUUAGUAACGGCGAGUGAAGCGGGAAGAGCUCAAAUUUGAAAUCUUCAAGGUUUUACCUUGACGAAUUGUAGUUUAAAGAAGUGUUUUCUGUUGAAGUUUUGGUAAAAGUUCUUUGGAAUAGGACAUCAUAGAGGGUGAGAAUCCCGUAUUUGACCAUUAUUUUCAGCUGUGUGAUACACUUUCAAAGAGUCGGAUUGUUUGGGAAUGCAGUCCAAAAUGGGUGGUAAAUUUCAUCUAAAGCUAAAUAUUGGCGAGAGACCGAUAGCGAACAAGUACCGUGAGGGAAAGAUGAAAAGAACUUUGAAAAGAGAGUUAAACAGUACGUGAAAUUGUCCAAAAGGGAAGCGUUUGACACCAGUGUUGUUUUCUCGAAAAUCAAUUAAAAAGAGUUAGAUUUUGUUGUGUAUUGACCUUAACAGCUUGCAUUUCAAUUUUCUUGCUUUUUUUAAUGCACUUUUCGUUUAACAAGUCAACAUCAGUUUCUUUUGUUGUAAAAAGGUCAUUGGAAGGUGGCUUUCUUUUCGGAGAAAGUGUUUAUAGCCUUUGACUCCUGCAAUCGGAGAGACUGAGGUCUGCAGCGUAGAUCCUUCGGGGUUAGAUACAUUUGUGCUAAGUUAUAGCUUUUUAUAGACAACUUGUUGACUAUGAUUAGUCUUGUAGCUUACUCGCUUAUGCUAUUUUACCUACGCUUAGGAUGUUGAAGAUGUAGCACAUCAU
rnacentral:rRNA from 1 species